AAAAAAUAUGCUCGUAAAUAAAAUAUAAUGUAACUUCGUUAAACCCUUAAAACAUAUAGUUUACCUGUAGAGGGAAUGAUAGGAAUUAGAACGUCUAAAAUACAUUAUCUGACACGGAUACAAAGGGUACGUCAUCCUAUUCAUUUUGCCCGAUUCAGUGUGCGUCAUUAGUUUUGAUUUGAUCACUCUUCUUUGUCCAGUUUCAGUGACCGAUAAGGUGGAUGGAUAGCUGAUAAAGCUACAAAAGAUGUAAUGACCGACUUCAUUGUUUAACCAGAUAUCCGGAAAUGGUAUAAAUUUGUCAAAUAUUAGACAAAAUGGUGCCUCCGAGGUUGAAAGAUCAUGCCAUUAGAAAAUAUAACUGCUCAAACGACUACUGCACGCGCACCACCACUAAGUACGUAUCGAGGUGUUCAAGAUACUCAAGCACCAGGUUCCUCUGCGAUUGAUAGAUCAUCACAGGAAGCUAUUAAUUUUGUCCUUUGGGGAGCUUCCGGCUUAGCUUUGAUUAUUUUAUUCAUUCGGCUGAUCAUAUCCAUUAUCCAUAGAAUUCGACGACGAAAUAAUGAAGGAGUGCCUUUCUGGGGAAACAACAGCAGAUGCACAGUACAAGAAGCCCCACCUCCAAACUAUUCACAGAUAUCCAUUCGCACACUACCUCCGACAUACAGCCAGGCUUGUAGAAUAACACAUUAUCACCCAUCUACAGGAAAUGUGUCACAACAGACGACAUCGACUGGAAAUGACGUGUCGGUGAACGAGGCGUAUUUGAAUUACAUUGCUGACACUGAUUUUACUGUUCAAUCUUCAAAUGAUAAUGAUGGUACUAACGACGAUGUCUCCAAUGCUCCUACAAACACCAAUUCCGAAGCUGUUAAUAAUGUAUGCCAAACACAAUUCUCCAGUGACAAUUAUAGCGACAAUAGUCAGUCGCGCACACAUAUUGAAAAUGACAGCAUACAGGGCACUAAUGACAAUAUCGAUGAAAGCAAUGACUUUGAUAUACCAAUGAGAUCGAAUAGAAUGACAACAGAACUAUGAACGGGUUUUGGUGUCGUCGAAGACGGACGACACUGGAGAAUUUAUUCUAUGGAUGUAAUCUGAUCUUUAUCCCAACUAACUAUAGUCAAUAACAGAGGAACACGCGCCAUAGAUUUCUUGCCCGGAUUAUGUAUAUGAUAGUUAAUAUAGUAUUGAAGAGUUGGAUUCAUUGACCGGUGUUCUCUUUGCAAAUGUUUAUUGGUGUAUAUUUAAGAGUAUGUGUUUAUCUUUUUAGUCAGCAUACAUUUUUUAUACAAUGUUAUGUUAUUAAUCAAUAGAGUUUGUAUGUCAUUUGUGUUUGUGCAUUGUCGGUAGCGUUUGUAAAAACUACAUUUCUUACAUUCCAAAUAUUUGGAUCUGAAUGUAUAGAUGUAUAGUUUCAUUAUGUAUUUUUUUUAUUUUACUAAUACAAUGAAACUUAAGUUUUGGUCAUCAUUAGAAGCAUUGAUUUAGAUGCUUGAACUUCAUGUAAAACUCAUUCGUGUUUGGAUUGCAUAAUUUACUGAUCACACAGCUUAAGAUAAAUAUUAGUAAAACGCAUUAAUAUUACAUGCAUGUAUACUGUAUAGUUUGUGUAUCAUAGGUACAAACAUGAGUCGUCAUAAUGUGAUAUACUUUGUUAUAGAUUAAUAUAGAAACUGAUCAAAGAUAAGAUAAAAUAAAAACAAUAACCUGUU